AUUAAGACUUUAAUUACAAAAAAAAAACCACAUAACUACAAAUUAGCAAAAUAAUAUCUUGAUACAGUUCAAAUCAAACCCUAAUUAUAAAUUAAUUCAGAAAAUCUAAUAUAAACCAACACUAUAAAUCAGUAAAAAUUUUAAUUCAUACCCAAAUCAACAACUAAAAUCAAACCCAAAUCAAUCAUUCAAAUCUAACCUUGAUACAGUUCAAAUCAAACCCUAAUUAUAAAUUAAUUCAGAAAAUCUAAUCUAAUACUAACGUUUUGCUUGAUGAUUAUGGCGGUAAAGAGAAUGUGGGGCGAGGAACAGGGUUGUGCUUGUGCCGCCGUUGAUCAUUGUCAACGAAGAACAUCAGCCCAUCCUUCUGCCUUCGUUGAUCGUUGCCGACGGCGGAGAUCAGCCCGUCCUUGUGCCGCCGUUGAUCGUUGCCUAGGAACUCCUUCAGCCGCCGUUGAUCAUUGUCAACGAAGAACAUCAGCCCAUCCUUCUGCCUUCGUUGAUCGUUGCCGACGGCGGAGAUCAGCCCGUCCUUGUGCCGCCGUUGAUCGUUGCCUAGGAACUCCUUCAGCCGCCGCCGUUGAUGGCCGUGGUGACGCAUGUGUGAGGUGAGGAGUGGUGAGGUGUUUGACGUGUGUGAGGUGAGGGAGUGGUGACGGUGAGGUGAGUGAGUGGUGGUGGGGAUUUUUUUUGUUUAUUUCAGUUUUACAGGUUUGUUUUUUCAAAUUUUUUUAAUUAUUGAAUAAUAAAACAAAUCUCAGCCAUUGGAUCCACUCUAUUCAAUCCAACGGUAAUUUUCUACGUACUGUAACUACCCCCGUUGAACCGGUUGCCAUAUUUUUUUCUACUUUUAUUCAUUUUUUUCUUUUUUUUUUCAAACUAAAACCCCAACCAUUGGAUUCAAAUAAGCUGAAUCCAACGGCUCAAGGGCAGCCCCUGUACCAUACAGGGAUUUUAUGCCCUGCAUGGUAGCCGUGUCC
rnacentral:lncRNA from 1 species